GGCAGUUUGGCGGAGUGGUCUAACGCGCUAGACUUGAAUACAUACCUAUUCAUGCCAUCUAGUCCUUUCGAGGGCGCAGGUUCGAACCCUGCAACUGUCG
rnacentral:tRNA from 1 species